rnacentral:lncRNA from 1 species
UUUUGUUUUGUUUGUUUGUUUUUUUUUUUUUUGGUACCAGGAUCAAACUCAGAACCAUGUACUUGAGAGGCAGUUGUGGUGCUACUGAGCUAAAUCCCGGUCCUUGUUUUGUUUUGUUUUGUUUUUUUUCAGACAGAGUCUCAGGCUGUGCUUGGACUCACUAUGUAGCCCAGACCGGCCUCCUGAGUAGCUGGGACUACAGGCAUGUGCUACCACUCUCAGCUUACCACACGUAUGGGAAGGAAAUGAGAAGGAUCUCACAUGAAUGAGAUUUUCAAAGAUUAGCCAGGCCUGGCAUGCCUGUAAUCCCAACAAAGUUAGGAUGGGGGCCCAGAAGGUCCAAUCCAGAAGGCUGAGGCAGGAGGACUGCCAUAAAUUCAAGGCCAGCCUGGACUACAUAGCAAGACUGUCUCAAAAAACCAAAAUAAUAAACAAAUGAAUAAACA